AAAUUUCCUGGUUACUUCCAGAGACUUUGUCUAAAGCAGAAUGGAGUGAAAUGGUUUUGGCCAUUAUCAUCCUCGUCAGCGGCAAAGAUAAGAGGUGGGGAUGGGCUGCUACAACUAGAGACGAUUGUUUACUACAGAUUUUGAAGUGAACGGCCACCACUGUUAAGUAUAUAAAUUCCAGAGCAGAGACUCCUUGUAUGCCAAAGCAGAGCCACUAGAGCCACAUCUAUGGAAAUGGGAAACCCUCAGAACCAGCCCAGGAGCCACAGAGGCAGCAGGGGUAAGAAAAAGGGCAUCAAGGUAACAUACAUUUCGAGCCCAAUGAAGGUGAAAGCUAGCAGCGCUUCCGAGUUUCGAGCAAUCGUUCAGGAGCUCACUGGGUGUAACUCCAACCCUGAAAGCAUGGAUGCAUGGAGUGUUGUUAAUAUUGUUGAUGAUGCAGCUCAUUCAACUUCAGCCAUCAAUCCCAUCAGCCCCACCCCCAUCUUGGAUCAAGGUUUCAUUUGGAGAGAAGCUUCGGAUGGCUUCCCCGGAUUUCAAUUUCCUUGUGUUUUUGCAUGAUCUGAUUCUGAUCUUUUAUUUGCAUUUCUGAUGUUGCUUUGCUUCAACUUAUCUGCUUUAGCUCCUACUGUUUGCUUUUCUCCCCAAUCUUGUAAUCAAGGGAUUUGAUACGGCAAGCGUUGUUGUUGUUUUUUAUUUAUUUAUUUAGACAUCAAUGAUUUAUACCA